UGAUAAUAGAGUAAUUGGUAACUUUUCAGACUCAUAAUCUGAAUGUUGUGUGUUCGAUUCCAACUCCCGCCAA